GCACCCAUAGCUCAGCUGGAUAGAGUACCUGGCUACGAACCAGGGGGUCGGGCGUUCGAAUCGCUCUGGGUGUACCA
rnacentral:tRNA from 4 species